CGCGCAUCAGCCAUGGCGCGGUGAAUACGUUCCCGGGCCUUGUACACACCGCCCGUCAAGCCAUGGGAGCCGGGGGGUGCUUGAAGUGCGUCGCCGCAAGGCGCGCCCUAGAGCAAAACCGGUGACUGGGGCUAAGUCGUAACAAGGUACC
rnacentral:rRNA from 1 species